UACAGAGGUGGCAAGCGUUGUUCGGAAUUACUGGGCGUAAAGGGCGCGUAGGCGGCCUUCUAAGUCAGACGUGAAAUCCCCCGGCUUAACCUGGGAACUGCGUCUGAUACUGGGAGGCUUGAGUAUGGGAGAGGGAUGUAGAAUUCCUGGUGUAGCGGUGAAAUGCGCAGAUAUCAGGAGGAACACCAAUGGCGAAGGCAGCUCGCUGGGACGGUACUGACGCUGAGACGCGAAAGCGUGGGGAGCAAACAGG
rnacentral:rRNA from 1 species